rnacentral:lncRNA from 1 species
AAAUGUGGUUGGGUUCUUCCUCCAACUUUUCUUGGUCUGUGCAAUACACAUACCCGUUUUGUUUUUGUUCGAAACCUGAAGAUGGUAAGUAAAUUGUAUUGCCGAGGAUUUUUGUAAUAUUAAAUAUGUUUUGUCGCAGCUGCGAUGUGUGUUGAACUCUGGUUUUUUGUUAAAAAUGUGAAUAAGCAGUAUAAUAGCUGUUAUGGAGCAACAAGGACAGAACCAGCCAAUAAAAGUGUAUUCUAAAACAGCAAUAAAGCAGGCUAAGGCAUUUGAAACUUGGACAUUCUUGAAGGAGUAUAAAUUAAAUAAGGUUUAUUCAACUUCAAUUAAUAGCAUUAGAUUACCAAUAAACUCAAUCCUGCAAAACACUAAAAGAUUAAUGUCUAGUUGUAGGCACGCGGGAUGUGAAAAGGAGGUAUCAUACCAUGUUGAAAAAGGAGAAGCAAUUAAGAAAUACCCUGAUUAAUGCAGGGGGGUCCCAACAUACCUUAUAGAAAAUGUGGACAGGCAGGCAGAGUACACUAGAUAUAAGUUAAGAGGAAAGCAUAUAAAGAAGCUUAAGUGGAUCCUAAGAAAACAAAGGGUAUAUAGGAGAGUAACAAAAGUGGAAUUGGAUAGUGUUGACUGUAAUUGGAGACAGAGGUGCCAGAUUUUGUAAAGGACUUAAUACAAAAAGGUCUGGCAUGUGCCAUCUUGCAACCAACAGCACCCUUGGAUGAUGUCCCCUUGGUAGAAGACUUGCUCAGAAAUGUUGAGGAGGACGAGAAUACUAAACACAAUUACAGAUGGCAGUAUGUCAGAGAUAGGCUAGGUGCUUUGUUACAGUAGUUCGUCCUGGAUUUGAAUCACACUGCCAAUGUACAUAAAAUUUUUUUCUUUCAUUUUUUUAUUUAUUUAUUUAUAGGAUAUUUUAUUA